AAACCUCCGAGCUUCCGUAUUCCAGUCAUUGGUGAAGCCGCUACGCGAGAGUCAUCCUGGGAGGCCCUUCUUUCGCACCUUUCGAGACGGUUUCUUCGCUCCUCCGCGAACGAGGCGGAUUGGGGUCUGGGAUGGAGGCUCGGACGCGUGACGUCACUGGAAAAUUCACUAGCGAUCGACGCGACAAGGACGACGACGCUCGGUAAGUUUCGACACGCUCUAUCGCGCAUAUAAUCCUCGAGAGUUUUCUAUCCUUUUUUUGAAAAUAUGAAUACGUAGAUACUCCUCUCGGGACACCACACACAAACGCACAAAGAUCUUUAGUAGAUUUAGCCGAUCGCGAGCUUUCAACUCGAGUCGGAUUAGAUUAUUACCGCGCGUAUCGCGUAUCACCGAUCACCGGAAGCCGGGAGCUUGCGACACGAAUUACGCCGCAAGUGCGGUGACGGGCUGCUAGGAUUACGGCGGAGGGGGAGGGGAAGACGCUUGGUGCGAGAGUUUACCAUUAGAUAUUUCGAGGCGCGGGAAGUCGUAUCGCGAUCGUUCGAAACGUAAUCGUUCGUGGCUUCGGUGCUCUUCUUCGAACGACGUAGCGUGAAUAGAAAUUGUAACUGCGAUGCUGCGCGUAUAUUCACGUACAGGACGUGUUGAACUACGUCUCUAUCUAACAAGCGCCAACGACUGUGUUGUACUGUGAAUAUUUCGUGCUUCUGAUACACGAUUGCAUCAUUCCGACGGACAUACCCGACCGACGGAAGCACGUAAGUCAUGAUAUUUUCAUUUUCGAUAACUUGUGCCGUUUUUCGAAGUUUAAAUAUCGAUGAUACGUACAGCAGAGAAAUUAAGUCUAUUUCGCGCACAUAAUUAUUGUCUCCUUCACAAAGAUGAAUUAUUCUCAAGGAUUUUAAUGAAUUUUUUAAAUAGCAAGUUAGUCUGAGAACAGAGCUGAUAAUGUUGUUGACUAUGUUGAUUUCAAUAUUAUCUUAUUAUAAUGGAAUCAUAAUAUUUUACAUCAUAUAUAUUUUUUUUACAUCAUAAUUAUGUGUGCGAGAGAGUACAUAAAUUAAAUGUUGAAAUGGAAUAAAUUCUCUUGCAAUCUCAAUACACAAGUUUCUAUGGGAGAAGGCAAUUAUAUGAUUGCGGCGCGUAAAAGAUAUCUUUCUACCGACUUACGCUUAACUUUCUAUGACAUAUUGAUACGGCAUUCAUGUCAGUAAAAUGUAAGUUUCUCGUUAUAUAAAACUUUUCAUUUGAUAUGACUUUAAUUUUGACGGGUAGAAUGGUCUUCAGUUGAAUCGGAAAGUUUCUAUUUCUCAACUUGAUUAGUCUUUGUUCUCUCUUGACUCCUUAAUUAUUACAAGCCGUAUAUUUAUGGGCUCAUCUUGUUGCACGUAAAAUCCAUUUUAGACCAUUUGUGAUUUGCGUACGGUAUUCUGCCUGCUACUACAUGUAUGCUGAUGUCGCGUUAUAAUAAAAAUAUACGCGAACGAGAGAUUUUUUUUAUUACAUCGAGGUAAUAAAU